AAGCCAGCCAAUGAGUCUGCUUACCUGAAAGUGUUUCUGCAGAAAUUGAGAGAAAGUUGGCAAUAGUAAAACCAUGUUAGGAGCCUUAAAGACCUUGAAAUCAUUAAGGUCCUGAAAAUAACUGUAGGA